UUUUAUGAAUGAGCAAAGAAGGUGGUUUCCUGAGACAGAAUCUACUCCUGGUGAAGAUGCUGUGAA
rnacentral:pre_miRNA from 3 species